GGCUAUCGCUCGGUCGUCAGCGCCUCGUCAGUUAUCUAGCAGGGUGUACCGGAUAACAUUAGGUAUCAAUCUAGCAGGUGAGGUUGACAUUUAGGCAGGUUUCAGUACUUUUACCCAACCCCUUACACUUUUACAUUAAAUAUAAUAUGAAAUCCUAUUUUUAACUUAAAAUCGCAAUUUCGAAUUCAUCACAGGACGUUUUGUCGAUUACAAUAAAAAUGUCCAGUAUUGUUCAAAAAUAAGAUGCUCUUUUAGUCUAUAGUAAAAAGACGAAGUAAUUCUUGAAGUUGCAUUUUAGUACCUAUUUAUAUUUUCAUAACUGAGAGCGCCUAUUUGAUUUCAAUUGAAUUUAUUCUUAGCAUUUUUUUCAUUUUACUAGAAAGAGUGGUAUACAAAAACAUAAUUGUGUCAAGAAGAAUGUCAGUUUAAUCAACUGACUUGGUGCCCCAGCAAAAUGUCCGGUGUUCCGUGUUGGAAAUAGAUUGAUUUCAUUGUUUCAAUAAUUGUUCCCUGUAUAUAAUUUUAUAUUUUGGAUGUUUGUGUUACAACAGAGAUGUCAUAAAAUAUUAAAAUAUAAUUCUCUGAAAGCUGUCACAAACUAUUUUCAAUCGAAGUUUUUCAAGGAAAUAAGUGAAGAUACAACAUUUGGCGACCAUGAUAAUGUAAAGUUUUAAGAAAGAACGAGAUUUAAUUAGAAAACACUUCAUGAAAACGUCUGCAGAAAUCGACCUAAAAAUGAACGACAAAUGAUGACGUGUUAUCCCUUUUGAGACAAUUAGAAGACAAGGGUGACCGCUUAUUCUCUGCAGAUGAAAACAUCAGAUGUAUGCUACUAACUGAUGGUGCCAAAGAAGCAGAUUUGGAAAAGGAAUUUGACAGGUAGAAUUCUACCGAGAUGAGUUCAUAAGGCAAAGAUCCAAAUGUGAAGUUCAGUUGAAGAAGAUACCUGAAGACCAAGCAACAUCCCAGGAAUGUAGCAGUAAGAAGCAUAAGUGGAAAUUCCGUCUUCCCAAAAUCGAACUCAAAAAAUUCGACGGAAAUGUCAAGAAUUGGAUUUGAUUGUGAGGACAGUUCUGACAAAUCCAUAAAGACAAGGAAAUCGAUCUUGAAGACAUAUUACAGUACCUGCAGGCAACAGAUUCAGCUCCAAGAGAACUAGUGGAGAGAUUUCCUCCAUCAGGGGCCUAUAACACGUUAGCUAUGGACCAGAUGAACGCCAGGGGUAACAAGGGAAAAGUAUACAGCAAUUUUAUUUCCUCUGGUAGAGUCUGCAUUACCGAACGAUACCUUACAAGCAUGGGAAAGAUAUCGCAGUACAAAUAACUUGUCUGACAGGAUGAAUAAAGUAUUAUUAUUAUCCUAUAAUGUGUGCAGAUCUAGAAUUGAAGAAACGAAAAAAAGAUGAUGAAAAUCUGGAAGUAGAAAAUAGUUUAAUUAGUAAUUUAUCAAAUACAAUUUUAAUUUCA